rnacentral:rRNA from 1 species
AGGACGAACGCUGGCGGCGUGCUUAACACAUGCAAGUCAAGGGGGCCCAGCAAUGGGCAACCGGCGAACGGGUGCGUAACACGUGAGCAACCUACCGAACUGUGGGGGAUAGCCGGCCUAACGGCCGAGUAAUACCGCAUACGCUCUCAGAGAGGCAUUUCUUUGAGAGGAAACCUACGGGACAGAUCGAGGGGCUCGCGGCCUAUCAGCUAGUUGGCGAGGUAACGCUCACCAAGGCAACGACGGGUA